rnacentral:rRNA from 1 species
UACAGAGGGGGCAAGCGUUGUUCGGAAUUACUGGGCGUAAAGGGCGCGUAGGCGGCCUUCUAAGUCGAACGUGAAAUCCCCGGGCUCAACCCGGGAACUGCGUCCGAUACUGGAAGGCUUGAAUCCGGGAGAGGGAUGCGGAAUUCCAGGUGUAGCGGUGAAAUGCGUAGAUAUCAGGAGGAACACCGGUGGCGAAGGCGGGUCUCUGGGCCGAUACUGACGCUGAGACGCGAAAGCUAGGGGAGCGAACAGG